GACGAACGCUGGCGGCGUGCUUAACACAUGCAAGUCGAACGGAAAGGCCCUGCUUGCAGGGUGCUCGAGUGGCGAACGGGUGAGUAACACGUGGGUGAUCUGCCCCUUACUUUGGGUUAAGCCUGGGCGACUGGGUCUAAUACUGGAUAGGACCAUGCUGUAGGCGGAGUGGUGGAAAGAGUAGUUUCGGUUAGGGAUGAGAUCGCGGCCGAUCAGCUUGUUGGUGGGGUAAUGGCCUACCAAGGCGUUGACGGGUAGCCGGCCUGAGUGGGUGGACGGCCACAUCGGGACUGAGACACGGCGCAGACUCCUACGGGAGGCAGCAGUGGGGGAUAUUGCACAAGGGGCGCAAGCCUGAUGCAGCGACGCCGCGUGGGGGGUGACGGCCUUCGGGUUGUAAACACCUUUCAGCCAUGACGAAGCCCUUGUGGUGACGGUAGUGGUAGAAGAAGCACCGGCUAACUACGUG
rnacentral:rRNA from 1 species